UUGAAGGAGGAGCGUUGGUGUGAGGACAAACACAAGACAGACACAACUCUUUGAUAUCCAGUGAAGAGGUCAGGAGUGUUUUACCUCAACCACAAUUUUGCCUGCAUAUGGAUCCCAUCAUCAAAGAGUCCUCAUCACCGAUUCAAAGAGCUCUCAAGUACCAGCCUUACUGCUCCAGUCCACCUUUGGUGACACAAAAGACUUCAAGAGGAUCUAGAUCUCGGUCUACAGAUUCUGGUCCAGCCAGUGGAUGUAGUUGUUCAUGCUUCUCCACCCAACCUUAGACAUCAUCGGCAGAUACGCAAACACCAUGCAGCCAUGAAAACCGUCCUCGUAGUGAUCGCUGGUCACCGUGACGCCGGCGUCCUGCAGCCGCCUGACAUACAUCAGCCCGUCAUCCCUCAGCACGUCAAACUCACACGUCAUCACGUAUGCUUUGGGCGUCCUACCCAGAACCCCCUGCUCUGCCAGCAGCGGUGCCGCCCUCACAUCAAUAAGCUGGGGUAUCUCACCCAUCACCCGUGGCGAUCCCGUUUCUCGCACCACGGGGCGGAAGUGCUUCCUGCGUUUCGCCGGCAGCAGAGCGGUCCAGUCCACCUUGGAGCGGAUGCUGCUGCUGAGGGCCAGCUGGUCCAGGGAGCUGUGGUUGUUGGCCAGCAGGACGGGCUCCAGGGAGGUGUCGGCCCCCAGGUACUGUAGCCAGUAGCGAGCCAUGAUCGGCCUGUAGAGGAUGGGCACGUCCCGGUUCUGCUGGUAGGACGGGGUGUAGAAGUCGAGCGCCUGCAGCACGGGGUAGAUCAGCGCCUGCAGCUUGAAGUUCACCGUCAGAGAGUCAUCAGAGCUGAGCUGUGGACACAGCAGCCAGGUUUCCCCCGGCGCUGUCCCCUGACACACACACCCUCUCCGGGUCGAUGCUGUAGCGGUCUAAAACCUCAGCAGACAGGAAGGCCCGUGACGCCGCUAACGCAUCGUGGUACUGAGCUGGGAACACCGCAUCUGGAGCGAGACGGUAACUAAAGACACAGGAAAUCAAGAUUAUACGUAGAUAUUUGUUGGUUUAAAUGUAUAUCCUUCCAAGCAUCUUACAUAAAUGCUGAUGUAAGUAGACUAUGUUCAGUAAACUGUAAACAGCAUUGUUUGCCUUAACUACAGCUCGGUUUAUGCUUCAAAAUGCAUAAUAAAAAGGGACAGAAAGGGACAAAUAGAAAAUAAACUGCCCGACAAAAUAAAGUUAUUGGUAAAAUAAUUCAAAACUCAGAUUUAAACUCAGAUUUUGAAAACUGAUGUUGAUGGGGCUCCUUUGGGAAGAGAGGUUUCCCUAAACACUCUAUUUGGGGAUGAUCUCCCUUUAUAUAAUCAGCAAUAUUUACAUUAAAUAUAAUUUUUCCCAACAUUAAGUUUACUGCAAUGUGACAGAACUUACUCCACAGACAUGACGACAGAGUCCAGGUCUUCCGCCAUUUUCCGACAAAGAAGGUCGUAUGAUCGCAUCCCUGUGAGGCAGAUCAUGAUGUCAUGUGAACAAAAAGGGCAUUAUUGUAAAUCACACUGGCUUUUCACAGUCAUAAAUGUUAACCUGAAAAGUUAAAUUGUUCAAUAUCAAUCCUCCUUUUUUUUGGCAUCUUUCCAACUUUUUAAAAACACUCACUUCCACUGCAAAGAGCCCACCCUCCACCGUGGAAAUAAAUGACUCCUCUCUUCAGCUGCUUCCCUCCCUUUGGCUGGAAGACUCGGGUCGGCACGCCGGCCAGCGUGGUGUCCGUCACGUGCACGGCGGGGCAGGAGUGAGCUUCGAUCUCCUCCACCAAGGACACCACGUGGUUCAACAGGUGGAUCCGAUGACACACACCCAGAGCGUGGGCCACAUCACUCUGAAAAUACAAACACACAUGGCAGUUAUUUCGUGGAUAAAGGGAGUUUUCUAUACCUGAGAGAAACACUUACGAUCCCUCAGUACAGAGAAGACACUGAAAUCCAAAUUGUAUUGACUUCACUUCCAGACAUUUUCUAUCCUUCAGCUUACCUCUUGUAAUUUAGUAUUUAUUCCUUAAUUUAUCAGGUGUGAUCGUUCUCUGGAGCCCCUCCCUGCCGUUAUAAAGCUUGAAAGACUGAAAGAAUGAGCAGGGUGUGAAAACCCGCCCUGCACUUUAAGCAAGAGCAGAAACGUGUGCCCCCACAAUGACGUUUAAGAUUAUAGGAUUUGGAUAUGCGAGUGGGCUUAGCUGAAUACUAGCAUGAUACACAGAUGUUACAUUGUUCAGGAGCAGGGAUACCUCAAGCCACUUCAUUUUGUUCUGUUUAAUCUGGCUGCUUAAAAGUAAAUAUUUCCAGGAAAAAGAAUAAAGAAACCCUUUGGUGA